CCAAGUGGCGCUGCUAUACAUGCAGUCGAGCGGAUGUCCUCCUGGAAGCUCUGCUUCCCAGAAAAGUUAGCGGCGGAACGGGUGAGUAACACGUGGGCAAUCUGCCCGUAAGAACUGGGAUAACUCCGGGAAACCGGGGCUAAUACCGGAUAACCCUGACUCUCUCCUGAGAGUCAGUUGAAAGAUGGUUUCGGCUAUCACUUACGGAUGAGCCCGCGGCGCAUUAGCUAGUUGGUGAGGUAACGGCUCACCAAGGCGACGAUGCGUAGCCGACCUGAGAGGGUGAUCGGCCACACUGGGACUGAGACACGGCCCAGACUCCUACGGGAGGCAGCAGUAGGGAAUCUUCCGCAAUGGACGAAAGUCUGACGGAGCAACGCCGCGUGAGUGAAGAAGGUUUUCGGAUCGUAAAACUCUGUUGUCAGGGAAGAACACGUACGAGAGUAACUGCUCGUACCUUGACGGUACCUGACCAGAAAGCCACGGCUAACUACGUGCCAGCAGCCGCGGUAAUACGUAGGUGGCAAGCGUUGUCCGGAAUUAUUGGGCGUAAAGCGCGCGCAGGUGGUUCCUUAAGUCUGAUGUGAAAGCCCCCGGCUCACCCGGGGAGGGUCAUUGGAAACUGGGGAAACUUGAGUGCAGAGAGGAAAGUGGAAUUCCACGUGUAGCGGGUGAAAUGCGUAGAUAUGGUGGGAGGGAACACCAGUGGCGAAGGCGACUUUUCUGGGCCUGUAACUGACACUGAGCGCGAAGCGUGGGGGAGCAAACAGGAUAGAUACCCUGGGUAGUCCACGCCGUAAACGAUGAGUGCUAGUGUUUGGGGGGGUUCCGCCCCCCUCAUGCUGCAGCUUACGCAUUCAGCACUUCCGCCUGGGGGAGUACGGGCUGCAUGCUGAACUUCAACGGAUGAUGGGACCGCACAAGCGGUGGGAGCCAUGUCGAUAUCCGGAGCACCGGGAGAACCUACCAGUCUUGACUGCAUUGGCCCGUUGAGACUGACCUUGCUACGGGAAC
rnacentral:rRNA from 1 species